rnacentral:lncRNA from 1 species
UUGGAAUUUGUGUCAAAUGUUUUGACUCCUUGGUGUUUUUCCAUACAAUACAAUGUAAAAUAUUUUGCCCCAUAACACACAUUUAUUUUUUCAUAUAAUAUGUAUAAGACUUAAUAGCUCAUGAAAGGUCAUUUACACAAAUUUUCGAAGAUUCUUGAUUUUCUUUCUUUUGUUUUGAGACCCAAAUAAUACCAAUGCAAAUAAAAGGGAAAAGCCCAAGUCAGCCUUUUCCCGCC